rnacentral:rRNA from 1 species
AACAAACGCUGGCGGCGUGCCUAAUACAUGCAAGUCGAACGGGGAAAGCUUUCGGGUGAGUACUAGUGGCGCACGGGUGAGUAACGCGUGGAUAAUCUGCCUUAGAGUGGGGGAUAACUAGUCGAAAGAUUAGCUAAUACCGCAUAAGACCACAAGAACUGCGGUUCAAGGGGUCAAAGGUUUUUCGCUCUAAGAUGAGUCCGCGUAAGAUUAGCUAGUUGGUAGGGUAACGGCCUACCAAGGCGACGAUCUUUAACUGGUCUGAGAGGAUGAUCAGUCACACUGGAACUGAGACACGGUCAAGACUCCUACGGGAGGCAGCAGUAGGGAAUAUUGCACAAUGGAGGAAACUCUGAUGCAGCGACGCCGCGUGAGUGAUGAAGGCCUCGGGUCGUAAAGCUCUGUCGCAGGGGAAUAACACAAUGAAGGUACCCUGUAAGAAAGGAUCGGCUAACUUCGUGCCAGCCGCCGCAGUAAGAC